rnacentral:lncRNA from 1 species
UUUAAUGUGUUUUUGCAGAAUGAUUAUGCAGGUUGCAAUAUGACAUGUUAAUGAGCACACAUUAUGGACAAAGAGUAUAUUCAAGCAACUUUACAUCAACUAGAGUAAGCACAUUUGAUCUAACAGCCACAAUCACUAAUCAAUAAGAAAAUUGUAGAAAGGAUUGAUAUUACCUCUGUUGGAGAGAUCUUGUGAAGUAUAAUUGAC